rnacentral:sRNA from 1 species
GACUAUCUUGAUUUUGGGAAUAAGGUUUUUAUUUUUUUGCUUGUCAAUAUGUCUGAGUGUGGUAGAACAGAUUUAUUACUAUCUAUUUCAUAUGUAUUUAUUCGUUUUUGGAUUUUCUAUUUUCGUUUUGUGCUGUUUAUUCUUAAAUGUUAUUCAUUUAAAGUUUUAUUGCGCGCGUAUGGUUCUUUAAUUUCUAAUUAUCUAUUAGUAUAAGUAACCGUUAAAACUAAGUAAAAUUGGGCAGUAUUAGUAUUUCAUUUUAAACGACGUCGGACAAUCCAGUGUAUAUCAGCUGCAUCUUGUGGUUUGUUAAUAUUAUAUUUAGUUAUAUAUUUCAUUAAUACCAUGAUAGUGAUCUUGCCAUUGUAAUUUCUGAAACUUGUUUGUAAGUUCUAAUAUUAAAUUGCUACAAAACAUGUUUUACCAUAUAAAUGAAUACUGAAGUAACGGUUGCAUUUUUAUGAACAAAUUAUCGAAACUAAAACAUAUUGAAUGUACAUGUAAAAUUGUAUUUUGUCUAAUGUAUUUUUCCUUGUUUAUAGGUCAAUGCUUUAAAACGUUUAAUAAAUCAGUUAAAC